ensembl:snoRNA
UCUUCAGUGAUGAUUGAUUCAGUGACUUUCGUUCUUCUGAUUGUACUGAAGCCAUCCUUCCUGUCCUGAGAAGA